GUUUGGUUGGAGUUUUCAAAGGAGAGACAUAAAACCAGGACUUCACAUGCAAACACAUCAAGUUCCAGUAGUUGGAAGGGGAACCUUUCUUGUUCUUAACAUUAGAAUAGUUUUCUCUUCCUUGAAAAAAAAAACAUUAGGAUAGUUUAAGAAUAUCCAACUCUUCUUGAUAUAUACUAUAUCUACAUUGAUUGAUUAUGUGAUACACAUGGGUCCAGAAGACAAGAUGUCACUGGUUUGUGGUACUAACUGCAAAAUACAGUGGGGCAUGACACAUUUGAAUGCUAUCCAUAUUUUGGCCGGCCAUCA
rnacentral:lncRNA from 1 species